rnacentral:lncRNA from 1 species
AAGGAAGCAGCUAUUUAAAGUUUUUUUUCUGCCGAAAGAAGAUUUGUGAUUUUUUUUUUUUUUUUUUCUCCCUCCUGUGCAGAUAUCACUUUUGGAAACACUGUGAUUCUGAGAGAAAGGAACAAGAAAAGUGGUGGUAUUGUGUGAAUGGAAGAGAAGAUUAGACAAGCUGAAGAAUUUUCUCCAGCAAAUAUGCUCUGGUGAUUUAGCAGUUCUUGGAACUAGUUCAUUAUCUCCAUAUAAACAAAAUGUUGUUUACAUAACCCUCCGUUUUAUCUGCUGCUCUUCUUCUGUGCUGCACUACAAAGGUAAAAGGUACUGAAAUCUUACAGAAGAAAGCUGAAUAAGGAUUUAGGACUACUCCAAACUGGGAUGAAUUUGCUACAGGAUGGGAAAGAACUGUUGCAAGGAAAAAAAGUCUGUCAAGCUGGUUGAUUGAACAUCACAGAAAGCUACAGAAACUGCACCCAGGACUUUUCAAAGUGGUGUGCUCACAGCUGUGCGGCUGGAAAUGCUUCCUUCACCGACUGAAAUAUUUGCUUGGCUCAGCAGCCCCAGGCACCUCAUGGUUGAGCUGCAUUUCUCACACUUCUAGUCGAGCCUCACCCACGGGGAUCAGCAGGGCACCUGAGGGUCUGUAUCAUCGGGGUAACACAAAUCUUGUCGUCCCUUUACCAGUGAAGACAUCAUCCCCUGGCAUUCCCACUGAAAUUCCCACUGAGGUUUCAGUUAGCCGGCUUUUAUAUCCAAAACCUUCCCCAAGAACCGGGUGUACAAGAACAAGGACAGGACAAUAGGAAAUGGCCUCAUGUUGCACCAGAGGAGCUUUCGAUUGGAUAUUAGGAAAAAUUUUUAUGCUGAAACGGUUAUUAAGCAUUGGAAUGGGCUGGCCAGGGAAGUGGUUGAGGCACCAUCCCUGGAGGUGUUCAAAAGACAGGUAGACAGUGCAUAGAGCCAGGGUUUAGUGAUGGUUUUUGUCAGUAUUGGGUUGAUGGUUGGACUUGAUGAUCUGAACGGCCCCUUCCAACCAAGGUAAUUCUACGAUUCUAUCAUUUCAUGCCUCAAUGCUCUGGCACGGACAUGAUAGCUGCACUUUAAUGUUUGAAUGGUUGUAGCAUCUUACAAGCUUUUUUUUUUUUUAAAAAAAUAAAUUAAAAUUACACCGAACA